AACGAACGCUGGCGGCAUGCCUAACACAUGCAAGUCGAACGAGACCUUCGGGUCUAGUGGCGCACGGGUGCGUAACGCGUGGGAACCUGCCCUUAGGUUCGGAAUAACUCCCCGAAAGGGGUGCUAAUACCGGAUAAUGUCUUCGGACCAAAGAUUUAUCGCCUUUGGAUGGGCCCGCGUUGGAUUAGCUAGUUGGUAGGGUAAAAGCCUACCAAGGCGACGAUCCAUAGCUGGUCUGAGAGGAUGAUCAGCCACACUGGGACUGGGACACGGCCCAGACUGCUACGGGAGGCAGCAGUGGGGAAAAUUGGACAAUGGGCGAAAGCCUGAUCCAGCAAUGCCGCGUGAGUGAUGAAGGCCUUAGGGUUGUAAAGCUCUUUUACCCGGGAUGAUAAUGACAGUACUGGGAGAAUAAGCUCCGGCUAACUCCGU
rnacentral:rRNA from 1 species